rnacentral:rRNA from 1 species
GUGAGGAAUAUUGCGCAAUGGGCGAAAGCCUGACGCAGCGACGCCGCGUGGAGGAUGAAGGUCUUCGGAUUGUAAACUUCUGUUAAGUGGGAAGAAAGGGCUGCUUUUAAUAGAAGCAGUUAAUGACGGUACCAUUAAAGAAAGCACCGGCUAAACUCGUGCCAGCAGCCGCGGUAAUACGAGUGGUGCAAGCGUUAUUCGGAAUAAUUGGGCGUACAGGGUGUGUAGGCGGUAUGUUAAGUCUGUUGUUAAAGACUCCGGCCUAACCGGAGACAGGCAGCGGAAACUGGCGUACUAGAGGGUGGAAGAGAGAAGUGGAAUUCUCGGUGUAGCGGUAAAAUGCGUAGAUAUCGAGAGGAACACCGAUGGCGAAGGCAGCUUCUUGGUCCAUACCUGACGCUGAAACACGAAAGCGUGGGGAGCAAACAGGAUUAGAUACCCGUGUAGUCC